GCUAGUUGUAUUAACUAUUAGUUAAUACAAGAUCGACUAUGUCGACUAAAGUUCUAGGUAGAAUAAUGAUGAUGACAAUUUUCUACCUAUAUGUCUUGACCAAAUCUCGUGCCAGCAGUCGCGGUAAUACGUGAAAGACUAGUGUUAUUCAUCUUAAAUAGGUUUAAAGGGUACCUAGACGGUUUAUCUAGCCCAAAACAGGGUACGGAUUUUCUAGAGUUUUAUGUGAGGAGGGGAGUACUCAUAGAGUAGAGAUGAAAUUUUGUGAUACUAUGAGGAAACUGGUGGCGGCGAAAGCAACCUUCUAUGUAUAAACUGACGUUGAGGGACGAAGGCUUGGGUAGCAAAUAGGAUUAGAUACCCUAGUAGUCCAAGCAGACAAUUCUGAAUGCCAUAGAUUAGAUUUUUUUGGUCUAUAAAUGAAAGUGUAAGCAUUCCACCUUAGGAGUAAUGUGGCAACACAGGAACUGAAAUCAUUAGACCGUUUCUGAAACCAGUAGUGAAGUAUGUUAUUUAAUUUGAUAGUCCUCAAAAAACCUUACCACAACUUGAAUGUUAUUUAAUUAAUACAAGCGUUGCACGGCUGUCUUCAGUUAAUGUCGUGAGAUUUUGGUUAACUCCCUUAAUUAACGUAAACCCAUAC
rnacentral:rRNA from 1 species